rnacentral:misc_RNA from 1 species
ACUGCCACAACCACCUUCACCUCGAGUGCAAUUUGAAUCAAUGGAGACCCCAUCACCUUGGCCUAUUUGUAUCGCAGCAUUUGUUGCAUCUCUUCUACUCGCUCUCCUCUCAAUCCACCACCGUAGGUUGCCCAACCGACCGCCUCCCGGCCCACGGUCGUGGCCAAUCAUCGGCAAUUUGAACCUCAUUGGCGCCCUCCCCCAUCGCUCCAUCCAUGCCCUAUCCAAGACCUACGGCCCUCUCAUGCAGCUCCGCUUCGGCUCUAUCCCGGUCGUCGUCGCCUCCUCUGUCGACACCGCCAGAGCCAUCCUAAAAACCUAUGACCUCAGCUUCCUCUCCCGCCACAAGACUGCCGCCGGCAAGCACACCACCUACAACUAUGCCGACAUCACCUGGUCCCCCUACGGCCCCUACUGGCGCCAAGCCCGCAAGAUGUGCCUCACCGAGCUCUUCAGCGUCAAGCGGCUGGACUCCUUCGAAUACAUCCGUGUCCAAGAAGUCAACGCUCUACUAGCCGGUCUCUUUCGCUCCUCCUCCACUGGCCAAGCCAUCAAUCUCAAGGACCACCUCUCAACCGUCAGCCUCAACGUCAUCAGCCGUAUGGUGCUGGGCAAGAAACACACCGGCAAGGCCGAGUCGACGGUGGUGACGGAGGAGGAGUUCAAGAAGAUGCUGGACGAGCUGUUCUUGCUGAGCGGAGUUCUCAAUAUUGGGGACUACAUCGCAUGGCUGGAUUUCUUGGACUUGCAGGGAUAUGUGAAGAGGAUGAAGGUGUUGAGCAAGAAAUUUGAUCGGUUUCUGGAGCAUGUGCUGGAUGAGCACAACGACCGACGGAAGCAGGAGGGGGAUGGGUUUGUCGCGAAAGACAUGGUAGACGUACUGCUGCAGCUGGCGGACAAUCCAGACCUUGAUGUGAAGCUCCACCGCGACGGUGUUAAGGCCUUCACCCAGGACUUGAUGGCUGGUGGCACGGAAAGCUCGGCAGUGACGGUGGAAUGGGCCAUCUCCGAGCUCCUAAAGCGUCCACAUAUCUUUGAUAAGGCAACGGCAGAACUGGAUCGAGUGAUUGGGAGGGGGAGAUGGGUGGAUGAGAGAGAUAUCGACAAACUCCCCUACAUUGAAGCUAUAGUGAAGGAGACAAUGAGGCUGCAUCCGGUUGCGCCAAUGCUGGUCCCCCGCUUCAGCCGUGAGGACUGCACCAUUUCCGGCUACGACAUCCCUACCGGAACACUCGUGCUGGUUAAUGUGUGGACCAUCGGGAGGGACCCCGGGAUAUGGGACUCUCCCGACGAGUUCCGACCGGAGAGGUUCAUUGGAAGCUCUAUUGAUGUCAAGGGUCAUGAUUUCGAGCUGCUGCCAUUCGGCUCAGGGCGGCGGAUGUGUCCAGGGUAUAACUUGGGGCUCAAGGUGAUCCAGUCGAGCCUCGCCAACCUCCUGCAUGGCUUUUCCUGGAGGUUGCCGGAGGGGAGAACAAAAGAGGAGCUCAGCAUGGAGGAGAUCUUCGGACUUUCGACUCCUAGGAAGGUGCCCCUCGAGGUUGUGGCCGAGCCUAAACUCCCUGCUCAUUUGUAUGGACUGUGAUCUUUUGAGUUUUGUCAUUUUAUUUUCUGUAUGGUUUUCUGAAAUACCAAUUAAGGAAAAAUAAAUGGGAGUGCCGUUCCCGUGUACUGCAACUUGUUGAUUGUUUGGAUGAGUUGCUAGAAGCUAUUAUAGGGACACUUUAUCUUUAGCUAAAAAUUUGUUGUACUUCCCAUGUCAUAAUUAU